rnacentral:rRNA from 1 species
GAAGAGAACUGGAAAGUUCCACCGUAGAAGGUAAUAGUCCUGUAAGUGAAACGAGAAGACCACGAGUUAUGAUCCAGAGUACCACGAGACACGUGAAACCUUGUGGGAAGCAGGGAGGACCACCUCCCAAGGCUAAAUACUACCUGAUGACCGAUAGUGAAGCAGUACCGUGAGGGAAAGGUGAAAAGAACCCCGGGAGGGGAGUGAAAUAGAACCUGAAACCGUGUGCCUACAACCGCUCAGAGCCCCUUAUGAGGGUGAUGAGGUGCUUUUUGUAGAACGAGCCAACGAGUUACGGUAUGUAGCAAGGUUAAGUACUUAAGGUACGGAGCCGAAGGGAAACCGAGUCUGAAUAGGGCGACUAGUUGCAUGCCGUAGACCCGAAACCGGGUGACCUAUCCAUGGCCAGGUUGAAGCGAGGGUAAAACCUCGUGGAGGACCGAACCACGUUGCUGUUGAAAAAGCAUGGGAUGAGCUGUGGAUAGCGGAGAAAUUCCAAUCGAACCCGGAGAUAGCUGGUUCUCUCCGAAAUAGCUUUAGGGCUAGCGUCGAGUAUGAGUAGUGGAGGUAGAGCACUGAAUGGGCUAGGGGGCAUAGCGCUUACCGAACCUUAUCAAACUCCGAAUGCCACAUACUUUGAGCUCGGCAGUCAGACUACGAAUGAUAAGAUCCGUGGUCAAAAGGGAAACAGCCCAGAUCGUCAGCUAAGGUCCCAAAGUGUAAGUUAAGUGGGAAAGGAUGUGAGAUUUCUAAGACAACUAGGAUGUUGGCUUAGAAGCAGCCAUUCAUUAAAAGAGUGCGUAAUAGCUCACUAGUCGAGAGAUCUUGCGCCGAAAAUGUAACGGGGCUAAACUUACCA